rnacentral:rRNA from 1 species
GAUAUAAUGGAAGCGAAUGGAGCUGACGUAUCUUGUGCGUAUUCAAUCCCGCGACGCAGCAAUCGCUUCGACGACAUUCCGCAAGGUUGUCUAGGAGUGUUGUUGUUGUGCUCGUUGGAUGCAUUUGCGUGCGGAGUGCGCCGAGUGGGUCGAUGUCGCUGCCGGAAGGGCGUAUAGAGGACUCGGGUUUUCGGACUCGAGAAUCCUGUACGCUUGGAUAGCAGGUGAUGUUGGCUCGCUGUUGUGGAGUGCGGGUGAAUUCGCGAUGGGCGUCGGUUGUGAGUUGUGGUUGCGGAUGGCACAUGUGUCUUCCGUUUCCGCGGCCUACGAUCGGCGUUCGUUGCCCCGGCACUCGACUCGGUGUAUAGUCGGUCACCCAUUCGACCCGUCUUGAAACACGGACCAAGGAGUUUAAGGUGUACGCGAGUCAUUGAGCUGCGAAACUCAAAGGCGCAAUGAAAGUGAGACAUUGGAUGUCGACGAUGUGAGCGUUGGGCGUUUCGACGUCCGGCGCGCAACAUCGCCCCGUGACUAGGACUUGUUCUGUUGCGGAGGUUGAGCGUACGCUUUGAGACCCGAAAGAUGGUGAACUAUGCCCGAACAGGAUGAAGCCAGA